rnacentral:rRNA from 1 species
AGUGAACGCUGGCGGUAGGCCUAACACAUGCAAGUCGAACGGCAGCACAGUAAGAGCUUGCUCUUACGGGUGGCGAGUGGCGGACGGGUGAGGAAUACAUCGGAAUCUACUUUUUCGUGGGGGAUAACGUAGGGAAACUUACGCUAAUACCGCAUACGACCUACGGGUGAAAGCAGGGGAUCUUCGGACCUUGCGCGAUUGAAUGAGCCGAUGUCGGAUUAGCUAGUUGGCGGGGUAAAGGCCCACCAAGGCGACGAUCCGUAGCUGGUCUGAGAGGAUGAUCAGCCAACUGGGACCUGGGAACGGGCCCAGACUCUAAGGGGAGGCAGAGGUGGGGAUUUUUGGACAAGGGGCGCAAGCCUGAUCCAGCCAUACCGCGUGGGUGAAGAAGGCUUUCGGGUUGUAAAGCCCUUUUGUUGGGAAAGAAAAGCGGCAGGUAAUACCCCGCUGUUCUGACGGUACCCAAAGAAUAAGCACCGGCUAACUUCGUG